UUCGGAUGUAUCAGAUGAUCAGACCUUGUC
rnacentral:piRNA from 1 species